rnacentral:tRNA from 2 species
GGGCGCUUAGCUCAGCGGGAGAGCACUGCCUUCACACGGCAGGGGCCACUGGUUCAAUCCCAGUAGCGCCCACCA